rnacentral:rRNA from 1 species
AGCAGCAGCCGCGGGAAUACGGAGGGGGCUAGCGUUGUUCGGAAUUACUGGGCGUAAAGCGCACGUAGGCGGCUUGGUAAGUUAGAGGUGAAAGCCUGGAGCUCAACUCCAGAAUUGCCUUUAAGACUGCCGAGCUAGCAGGUGAGAGAGGUAAGUGGAAUUCCGAGUGUAGAGGUGAAAUUCGUAGAUAUUCGGAAGAACACCAGUGGCGAAGGCGGCUUACUGGCUCAUACUGGACGCUGAGGUGCGAAAGCGUGGGGAGCAAACAGGAUUAGAUACCCCAGUAGUCCCUGUCUCUUAUAC